rnacentral:rRNA from 1 species
CAGCAGCCGCGGUAAUACGAAGGGUGCAAGCGUUACUCGGAAUUACUGGGCGUAAAGCGUGCGUAGGUGGUGGUUUAAGUCCGUUGUGAAAGCCCUGGGCUCAACCUGGGAAUUGCAGUGGAUACUGGAUCACUAGAGUGUGGUAGAGGAUAGUGGAAUUUCCGGUGUAGCAGUGAAAUGCGUAGAGAUCGGAGGGAACAUCUGUGGCGAAGGCGACUAUCUGGGCCAACACUGACACUGAGGCACGAAAGCGUGGGGAGCAAACAGGAUUAGAUACCCGUGUAGUCCCUGUCUCUUAUAC